rnacentral:rRNA from 1 species
UACGAAGGGGGCUAGCGUUGCUCGGAAUCACUGGGCGUAAAGGGUGCGUAGGCGGGUCUUUAAGUCAGGGGUGAAAUCCUGGAGCUCAACUCCAGAACUGCCUUUGAUACUGAGGAUCUUGAGUUCGGGAGAGGUGAGUGGAACUGCGAGUGUAGAGGUGAAAUUCGUAGAUAUUCGCAAGAACACCAGUGGCGAAGGCGGCUUACUGGUCCAUUACUGACGCUGAG